UGGGGAAUUUUGGACAAUGGGCGAAAGCCUGAUCCAGCAAUGCCGCGUGUGUGAAGAAGGCCUUCGGGUUGUAAAGCACUUUUGUCCGGAAAGAAAUCCUUGGCUCUAAUACAGUCGGGGGAUGACGGUACCGGAAGAAUAAGCACCGGCUAACUACGUGCCAGCAGCCGCGGUAAUACGUAGGGUGCAAGCGUUAAUCGGAAUUACUGGGCGUAAAGCGUGCGCAGGCGGUUUGCUAAGACCGAUGUGAAAUCCCCGGGCUCAACCUGGGAACUGCAUUGGUGACUGGCAGGCUAGAGUAUGGCAGAGGGGGGUAGAAUUCCACGUGUAGCAGUGAAAUGCGUAGAGAUGUGGAGGAAUACCGAUGGCGAAGGCAGCCCCCUGGGCCAAUACUGACGCUCAUGCACGAAAGCGUGGGGAGCAAACAGGAUUAGAUACCCUGGUAGUCCACGCCCUAAACGAUGUCAACUAGUUGUGGGGAUUCAUUUCCUAGUAACGUAGCUAACGCGUGAAGUUGACCGCCUGGGGAGUACGGUCGCAAGAUUAAAACUCAAAUGAAUUGACGGGGUC
rnacentral:rRNA from 1 species